AUCAACACAUUCAUCAGUCCUGGUGCUGGAGAAAGAUGUCACCUGUCUUUCCAAGGGCAAAGCUCAGGAACAUGAGGCAAAGACGAUGCUGAGAACUUCCAUCGAGCCUGGGAUGACCUGCAGCCCUAUGGCACUGAGAUGCACAAUGCCACAACUCUCCUCUUUCUUCACCUCACCUGCAGAACCUCCAGUGGAGAUUUUCAAAUGACCAAGAAAUUUGAAGUUUGGAUGAUCCAUAAUUUACACUGAAGACUGAAGGAGCAGGUAUGGAUUCUAGAGGCAGAGCAGAGCGGGCCAUUCCCCUGCCUCCGAGCUCAAAAAUUCCAGACACAAGUCUCCAGAGAUCACUGGGGCCAUACACUCUGUCCUGGAAAAUAAACAGUUCCCUCAC